GGCUUCAUAGCUCAGUUGGUAGAGAAACGCACUAGUAACGCGGAGGUCAUGGGUUCAAAUCCCGUUGAAGCCA
rnacentral:tRNA from 1 species